rnacentral:rRNA from 1 species
UACGGAGGGUGCGAGCGUUGUCCGGAAUCAUUGGGCGUAAAGGGCGCGUAGGUGGCCUGCUAAGCGUGCGGUGAAAGUCCGGGGCUCAACCCCGGAUCUGCCGUGCCGACUGUCAAACUCGAGGACUGUAGAGGCAGACGGAAUUCCGGGUGUAGCGGUGGAAUGCGUAGAGAUCCGGAGGAAGACCGGUGGCGAAGGCGGUCUGCUGGGCAGUUCUGACACUGAGGCG